ACAACGCAAGAGACUCGAGCCGUCUCUACAGGUCUGUUGUCAGCGGAGAAUAUCUCAGGAAUCGGACUCUACUCCUUUAACCAAAGAUGAAGCGAGGGAUACUCCUAGUUCUGUUUUGCGGAUUUUUAUCAUACUCCUAUGGACAAGGGGGAAAUUUUGACAACAUGGCAAACGAUCCAUCUUUACUGAUGGAACCAAAUCCAUCCGGAGGACUUUUACCCCCCAACCCCCCGCCAAAGCCCAAGAAGAGGAAGCAGGGUCUUCUGGACAUGGUUGAUACUCCUCCAAGGCCGGUGGAAGUGUUGAAUAACGAACCACCAGUCGAUCUAAUCGAGCAACCCAUAGGAUUACAGGAACAACCCAUAGGAUUACAGGAACAACCAAUCGGAUUUCUGGAUCAGCCCAUGGAGAUCCCAAACCAACCUAUGGGACCAACUAAUCAAGAAAUGGCAGCGAUAGACCAAUCUAUGGGACCAGCAAUCCAAGAUACUAUGGGACAAAUGGAGAUCCCUGUGGAGCCAGUAGAACAGAUUGGCGGAUUUCUAGAUCCACCACCGGCAGUUCAAAGAGGAAGUAACCCCCAGUUUUCAUUGGCUGGAUCGGAAGUUGUUAAAGAAUGGCUUCCUUCUAAUUUUGCUGAUAACAUACCUUCCUUCGACUUAAACCGAAUGGUAGAACCCGCACCUGGUACCCAGUCUAAGUCAGUAAAUCAAAUUUUCAACUCUAAUUUGGGCUCUGUUCAGGUUGGCGAUGCUGGCAUGGGAAAUGUCCCCUCAAUGGGAAUGUCUAUCCCAAGACAACCGAUAGUUGACUCGCAGUUCCGGGUGCCUGACAAUAUGAAUAUGGACCCUAUGGAUAAUGCUGGUGUUCUAGAUUUCCAGGAGUUUGGAAACGCUAUUGACCUCAAAUCAACGGCUGACAAAGGCGCGGAAAUGCUUGAUAUGGCAAUGGGCAUAGUAGAUAGAGAUCCCAAUGUAAUUCCAGGGAGCCAAAGAAACGAGAAAGAAUAUACAUUUUUUCACGAAACUCAGUGCCGCAUGAGAGCCCAUUUUACAGCCGCAGGAAAAUUGGACGAAACAACGUAUGAAGAAUGAGGGACGGAGUCUGUACACCAGACAUCUCUCUUAAGUUCCAAGGGGGCGUGCGUGACACUUCCGGUAACGGGGCCGCGGUCGAUUACUACGGUGUUGACGUAGCCGAUGGCACGGCGUACUUUGACGGAAGCAACCGUUUGUACAUUUGGAGAUACCAAAGUUACGACUACAGGGAUAAGUUACAGAUCAGCUUUAAAUUCAAGCCCAAGCCUGGCCCCAGAGCAGAGCCCUACACACUGGUCAGCAACUGUGAGGGGGAAGAUGAACCAUCAUAUGGCAUUGUUCUGAACAGCUUCUCCAACAUCACGACCAUCUUCUUAAAGACAUACGAAAUUGAAAGUCAACGUUUCAUGACCUUUGACAUUAACCCCACCCAAUGGAACGAUGUAUAUUUUAGGUACGAAAAUGGUACAAUGAUAGGACGAGUGAACAAUGAAAUCAAAAGCAGACCUCUGACAGGAAUCAUCCAGAAAAGACCGGAUGCCAUGGUGUUUGCCAAUUGUAAGCGAUAUGGAAAUUUCAAAGGACAGCUAAAAGAUAUCGUAGUUUACACAAAAUGUUUACCUCGUUAUGAAAGACCAGUAGAAAGAUACCUAAGUGGGGCGGGGCUUUAAUUGACCACCAUUAAUUCUUAAUAAAGACUAUUGGAUGACAGUUUUUCAGUUUUUGUGCGAUUAGUUGAAAAUGUUGUGCAAUGGAAAAGAAGAAAUACAAUCCAGAAGUAGACAUUAGAAUUAAACUUGAGUCGAAUAAUUUCAGUUUUAAAGACGAAGUAUACUUGAUAUAAAGAUUAAUUGUACUGACAAAAGUUUAAGCGUUAAUUGCCUUCCUCGGACGAACUUAUAAUAAGUUUUGCCAAUUUAAGUGAAACAUUACUUUUUUGGUCCCUAAUACGCACGCGUAAUAUGUUAAUUAAUGUCUUUCGUUAAUGUCGCUGUCACAAAAACCCUCUGUAUUCUGUGUGUAUUGUAUUCUACCACACUCUCUGAAUUGCAUCACAAUCACCUCAUUCUAGCGAAUAACAUUAUUGUAACAGUAACUUAUCAUUAUUUCUUUGAUUAUUUCUUUGUCAUUUUUUUGUAUGCAUGGUUUACGAGUUUUUAUAUAACGAUAUCGUUGCAUCAACAGUUCAUGAAAUGUCCAAUGCAGUAUCGCCUUGGUAACUACGCCAAGGGUUAUUUUAACGAAGGUGUAACUCAUGUGAUGUUUUGUACAUAUAUUUAUUGAAAAAUAAACUAAAUGAACAAUGUU
rnacentral:misc_RNA from 1 species